rnacentral:rRNA from 1 species
GAUGAACGCUGGCGGCGUGCCUAAUACAUGCAAGUCGAGCGAACAGAUGAGGAGCUUGCUCCUCUGACGUUAGCGGCGGACGGGUGAGUAACACGUGGAUAACCUACCUAUAAGACUGGGAUAACUUCGGGAAACCGGAGCUAAUACCGGAUAAUAUAUUGAACCGCAUGGUUCAAUAGUGAAAGACGGUUUUGCUGUCACUUAUAGAUGGAUCCGCGCCGCAUUAGCUAGUUGGUAAGGUAACGGCUUACCAAGGCAACGAUGCGUAGCCGACCUGAGAGGGUGAUCGGCCACACUGGAACUGAGACACGGUCCAGACUCCUACGGGAGGCAGCAGUAGGGAAUCUUCCGCAAUGGGCGAAAGCCUGACGGAGCAACGCCGCGUGAGUGAUGAAGGUCUUCGGAUCGUAAAACUCUGUUAUUAGGGAAGAACAAAUGUGUAAGUAACCAUGCACGUCUUGACGGUACCUAAUCAGAAAGCCACGGCUAACUUCGUG